AGAGUUUGAUCCUGGCUCAGGACGAACGCUGGCGGCGUGCUUAACACAUGCAAGUCGAACGGAGCACCCUUGAUUGAGGUUUCGGCCAAAUGAUAGGAAUGCUUAGUGGCGGACUGGUGAGUAACGCGUGAGGAACCUGCCUUUCAGAGGGGGACAACAGUUGGAAACGACUGCUAAUACCGCAUGACGCAUUUUGAUCGCAUGGUCGAAAUGCCAAAGAUUUAUCGCUGAAAGAUGGCCUCGCGUCUGAUUAGAUAGUUGGCGGGGUAACGGCCCACCAAGUCGACGAUCAGUAGCCGGACUGAGAGGUUGACCGGCCACAUUGGGACUGAGAUACGGCCCAGACUCCUACGGGAGGCAGCAGUGGGGAAUAUUGGGCAAUGGGCGCAAGCCUGACCCAGCAACGCCGCGUGAAGGAAGAAGGCUUUCGGGUUGUAAACUUCUUUUAAGUGGGAAGAGUAGAAGACGGUACCACUUGAAUAAGCCACGGCUAACUACGUGCCAGCAGCCGCGGUAAUACGUAGGUGGCAAGCGUUGUCCGGAUUUACUGGGUGUAAAGGGCGUGCAGCCGGGCAUGCAAGUCAGAUGUGAAAUCUCAGGGCUUAACCCUGAAACUGCAUUUGAAACUGUAUGUCUUGAGUGCCGGAGAGGUAAUCGGAAUUCCUUGUGUAGCGGUGAAAUGCGUAGAUAUAAGGAAGAACACCAGUGGCGAAGGCGGAUUACUGGACGGUAACUGACGGUGAGGCGCGAAAGCGUGGGGAGCGAACAGGAUUAGAUACCCUGGUAGUCCACGCUGUAAACGAUGGAUACUAGGUGUGCGGGGACUGACCCCCUGCGUGCCGCAGUUAACACAAUAAGUAUCCCACCUGGGGAGUACGAUCGCAAGGUUGAAACUCAAAGGAAUUGACGGGGGCCCGCACAAGCGGUGGAUUAUGUGGUUUAAUUCGAAGCAACGCGAAGAACCUUACCAGGUCUUGACAUCCUGCUAACGAAGUAGAGAUACAUUAGGUGCCCUUCGGGGAAAGCAGAGACAGGUGGUGCAUGGUUGUCGUCAGCUCGUGUCGUGAGAUGUUGGGUUAAGUCCCGCAACGAGCGCAACCC
rnacentral:rRNA from 1 species